CCUACGGGAGGCUGCAGUGGGGAAUAUUGCGCAAUGGGCGAAAGCCUGACGCAGCGACGCCGCGUGAGGGAUGAAGGUCUUCGGAUCGUAAACCUCUGUCAGCAGGGAAGAACGGUCACUGUGCUAAUCAGCAGUGAAUUGACGGUACCUGCAACGGAAGCACCGGCUAACUCCGUGCCAGCAGCCGCGGUAAUACGGAGGGUGCGAGCGUUAAUCGGAAUUACUGGGCGUAAAGCGCUCGUAGGCGGUAUGUCAAGUCAAGGGUGAAAUCCCCGCGCUCAACGUGGGAACUGCCUUUGAAACUGGCAAACUGGAGUGAGUGAGAGGAUAGUGGAAGUCCAGGUGUAGGAGUGAAAUCCGUAGAUAUCUGGAGGAACAUCAGUGGCGAAGGCGACUAUCUGGAACAUAACUGACGCUGAGGAGCGAAAGCGUGGGUAGCAAACAGGAUUAGAUACCCGAGUAGUC
rnacentral:rRNA from 1 species